AAAUUGAAGAGUUUGAUCAUGGCUCAGAUUGAACGCUGGCGGCAGGCCUAACACAUGCAAGUCGAACGGUAACAGGAAGCAGCUUGCUGCUUUGCUGACGAGUGGCGGACGGGUGAGUAAUGUCUGGGAAACUGCCUGAUGGAGGGGGAUAACUACUGGAAACGGUGGCUAAUACCGCAUAACGUCGCAAGACCAAAGAGGGGGACCUUCGGGCCUCUUGCCAUCAGAUGUGCCCAGAUGGGAUUAGCUAGUUGGUGAGGUAACGGCUCACCAAGGCGACGAUCCCUAGCUGGUCUGAGAGGAUGACCAGCCACACUGGAACUGAGACACGGUCCAGACUCCUACGGGAGGCAGCAGUGGGGAAUAUUGCACAAUGGGCGCAAGCCUGAUGCAGCCAUGCCGCGUGUAUGAAGAAGGCCUUCGGGUUGUAAAGUACUUUCAGCGGGGAGGAAGGUGUUGUGGUUAAUAACCGCAGCA
rnacentral:rRNA from 1 species